rnacentral:rRNA from 1 species
GACGUAGGGUGCAAGCGUUGUCCGGAAUUAUUGGGCGUAAAGAGCUCGUAGGCGGUGUGUCGCGUCGGCCGUGAAAACCUGCAGCUUAACUGUGGGCUUGCGGUCGAUACGGGCAUCACUGGAGUUCGGCAGGGGAGACUGGAAUUCCUGGUGUAGCGGUGAAAUGCGCAGAUAUCAGGAGGAACACCGGUGGCGAAGGCGGGUCUCUGGGCCGAUACUGACGCUGAGGAGCGAAAGCGUGGGGAGCGAACAGG